AUUGAACGCUGGCGGCAGGCCUAACACAUGCAAGUCGAGCGGGGUUUUCGGACCUAGCGGCGGACGGGUGAGUAAUGCGUAGGAAGCUACCCGAUAGAGGGGGAUACCAGUUGGAAACGACUGUUAAUACCGCAUAAUGUCUACGGACCAAAGUGUGGGACCUUCGGGCCACAUGCUAUCGGAUGCGCCUACGUGGGAUUAGCUAGUUGGUGAGGUAAUGGCUCACCAAGGCGACGAUCCCUAGCUGGUUUGAGAGGAUGAUCAGCCACACUGGAACUGAGACACGGUCCAGACUCCUACGGGAGGCAGCAGUGGGGAAUAUUGGACAAUGGGCGCAAGCCUGAUCCAGCCAUGCCGCGUGUGAGAAGAAGGCCUUCGGGUUGUAAAGCACUUUCAGUAGGGAGGAAGCGUUGUGUGUUAAUAGUACACAGCGUUGACGUUACCUACAGAAGAAGCACCGGCUAACUCUGUGCCAGCAGCCGCCGCUGUA
rnacentral:rRNA from 1 species